rnacentral:lncRNA from 1 species
UGGGGUACCACCUUCAACAGUCCAGCUUGCAUAGCCAUGAUCUGCUCCUUGCUCUCCUCCAGUCGAGCUUUCUGUACCAGACGGAUGAACUCCUUACGGUCCUCAUAGUGGACCACAGUGUUGCUGCCAUUGGGAAUCAGCUCCACCAUACGUUGGUCACUCAGCACCGUUGUGUAGGUCAGCUCAUUCCCAAAUUUGAACUCAAAGGUGUCUCUGUCCAUCACUUCCAUCACCUCCAGGAGUUUCACCUGCCCAGAUGAGUGCUUGUUAGAGAUGCCCAGUGGGCGGAAAUAUGCCUGGUCCCUCAUCUCCU